CGGGCGCUGCCCCGUUUGUCAGGUCUCUAUAUUCCCUUGGCCAAUAACACAGUCCUCGGGAGCUGUCCCUGCCAGAGCCUUGGUUCUGGCAUAUGGUGCCCACCUUAACAUGAGGGCCUCGGAGAAUAAGACAGACCAACGGCCGGGUGGCCCCGCC
rnacentral:other from 1 species